rnacentral:rRNA from 1 species
AGGAAAUAGAUACCCGGGUAGUCCACGCCCUAAACGAUGUCUACUAGUUGUUGGUGGAGUAAAAUCCAUUAGUAAACGCAGCUAAACGCGUGAAGUAGACCGCCUGGGGAGUACGGUCGCAAGAUUAAAACUCAAAGGAAUUGACGGGGCCCGGCACAAGCGGUGGAUUAUGUGGAUUAAUUCGAUGCAACGACGAAAAACCUUAACCUUGGCCGUUGACAUGCCACUAACGAAAGACAGAGAUGCAUUAGGUUGCCCGAAACGGGAAAGUAGGCACAGGUGCUGCAUGGCGUGUCGUCAGCUCGUGUCGUGAGAUGUUGGGUUAAGUCCCGCAACGAGCGCAACCCUUGCCAAUAAUUGCCAUCAUUCAGUU